GGGCACUUGGGGGUCGCAAAGGGUACACAGGGGGGUCCCAGAGGGCACUUGGGGGUCCCAAAGGGCACUUGGGGGUCUCAGAGGGCACUUAGGGGGUCUCAGUGGGCAUUUGGGGGUCCCAGGGGGCACUUGGGGGGCCCAGAGGGCACUUGGGGGUCCCAGAGGGCAUUUGGGGGUCCCAGGGGGCACUUGGGGGUCUCAGAGGGUACUUGGGGGUCCAAGGGGGCAUUUGGGGGUCCCAGGGGGCACUUGGGGGUCCUGGAGGGCACUUGGGGGUCCCAUGGGGCACUUGGGGGUCGCAAAGGGUACACAGGGGGUCUCAGAUGGCACUUAGGGGCUCCAAGGGUGCACUUGGGGGUCUCAGUGGGCACCUGUGGGUCCAAGGGGGCAACUGGGGGGCCCAAAGGGUACACAGGGGGUCC
rnacentral:lncRNA from 1 species